UACAGAGGGUGCAAGCGUUAAUCGGAAUUACUGGGCGUAAAGCGUGCGUAGUCGGUUAUUUAAGUCGGGUGUGAAAUCCCCGGGCUCAACCUGGGAAUUGCAUUCGAUACUGGAUAGCUAGAGUUCGGCAGAGGGAAGCGGAAUUUCGGGUGUAGCGGUGAAAUGCGCAGAUAUCGGGAAGAACACCCGUGGCGAAGGCGGUUCUCUGGGACGGUACUGACGCUGAGACGCGAAAGCGUGGGGAGCGAACAGG
rnacentral:rRNA from 1 species